rnacentral:rRNA from 1 species
GAUGAACGNNGGCGGCGUGCUUAACACAUGCAAGUCGAACGAGAAGUGGAGACGGAAACCUUCGGGCGGAAGACUUUACUUCGAGUGGCGGACGGGUGAGUAACGCGUGGGUAACCUGCCUCAUACAGGGGGAUAACAGUUGGAAACGACUGUUAAUACCGCAUAAGACCACAGCACCGCAUGGUGCGGGGGUAAAAACUCCGGUGGUAUGAGAUGGACCCGCGUUCGAUUAGCCAGUUGGCGGGGUAACGGCCCACCAAAGCGACGAUCGAUAGCCGAUCUGAGAGGAUGACCGGCCACAUUGGGACUGAGACACGGCCCAAACUCCUACGGGAGGCAGCAGUGGGGAAUAUUGCACAAUGGGGGAAACCCUGAUGCAGCGACGCCGCGUGAGUGAAGAAGUAUUUCGGUAUGUAAAGCUCUNUCAGCAGGGAAGAAAANGA